UGGCAACUAUCAAGAACAUGAAGAAGGAUGGGCCUUUUGAAGGUACGUCUGAGUUGUUUGUUAUAGAAACUAACCUAACGAUUUCCUUUUCUUCUAGUUGGGUUCUUGAUUCUGAUUUAAGUGCUCAUUUAUACACUUCAAUGCAGGAUCUUGAAGAAGUUAGGGGGCUGAGGGAAGGCGAGAUCACUCUCCGAGUUGGCAAUAGAGCAAGAGUUGC
rnacentral:lncRNA from 1 species